rnacentral:rRNA from 1 species
AUUGAACGCUGGCGGCAGGCCUAACACAUGCAAGUCGAACGAGUGGCGGACGGGUGAGCAAUGUCUGGGAAACUGCCCGAUGGAGGGGGAUAACUACUGGAAACGGUAGCUAAUACCGCAUACCAUCGGAUUUCCCCAGAUGGGAUUAGCUAGUAGGUGGGGUAAUGGCUCACCUCGGCGACGAUCCCUAGCUGGUCUGAGAGGAUGACCAGCCACACUGGAACUGAGACACGGUCCAGAUUCCUACGGGAGGCAGCAGUGGGGAAUAUUGCACAAUGGGCUCGAGCCUGAUGCAGCCAUGCCGCGUGUUUGAAGAAGGCCUUCGGGUUGUAAAGUACUUUCAGCGAGGAGGCGGUACUCGCAGAAGAAGCACCGGCUAACUCCGAGCCAGCAGCCGCGGUAAUUC